AGCUGUAAGUUAAACUUGGAGAAACCAAGCUUUUUAAAACUCGUAUCUUAUUAACUCUGCAGGUAAAAUUACCAUUUGAAAAAUUAAUACAUGCUCUGAAAAAUUUCCCGGAUGAUGCAAUGAAUCCGGAUACCUUGCUUCCAUUGGCUUAUUCUAUAAAGGUUCUCUUUCUUUUCCAAAAAGUGAAGCUGUCUCCUUAAUGUUGUGGUUAAGUUCUUAUAAUAACACUGGAGAGAUAUGAAAGAAUCAAAUUAGCGAUAUAGACAUGAUUAACUUGAUGGAUAAUUUAAUCAUACUUACUUGUAGUGAACAAUUGUUGAGGGGCAUUGAUGCUGUUAAAUCUGUUAGUGAAAACUCUGAGGUUUCUUGAGCUGAUAAACAUUAGUGGCAUUAAUACUUUGUUCAUCCCAGGUAU
rnacentral:lncRNA from 1 species